GAUGAAAAUAUGAAGGUGGAUCUUCCUAUUGAACAGAUGGAAGUAAAAGAAGUUGAGGAGGAACAAAACUCCUACAAAGACUUCAAAAACCAUCAAAAUGCAGCUUUUUCAACAAGGUCAUCCCCUUCCAGAACCAAUAAGAUCUCAGAAUAUACCUCAAGUAUGAAAGAGUCAAGAGACCUCCAACCCAACAGCCAUGGAGAGAGCAGGGACCAGUCAUUAGAUCAACAAGAACCAAAAGAAGAUGGAUGCGUGUGUUCCCAGGGCAGAUGGCCAUGAUGCUUUGCUAUGCAUAUGGCUCACAGAUUACCACUCCAGCAGGGUGUCAGAACUGAUGAGGCAGCACUGGAGCAGAGUGUUGUGCCAUUUGCAUUUGAGCUUUACUGCUUAGCUGCAUGGAUGGCCACGCUGCUUUUCAUGCUUUAUGUCAGAGGGUGAAUCCUGAACACAAACAUGUCGGAGUGCAAGCCUCAGGACUGCUUUUAAUACAGUUUUUCUGUAGGUACAAGCAUUUUGAUGCAUUCCACUAAUUUGAAUGUUAAUGCCUUUUAAAUUUAAAUUAUUAAGUUUUUAAGUGUUAUUACAAAUGUUAGUAUAUAAUUUUAGUAGAAUACAGUGCAGUGUUUAUACUAACUCGUUGCUUGAAAAUUCUCUUUAAAUAGUUGAAUUAGCUUUGGAAUCAUUUUCAUUUAUCAUUUAGAUAAAGUGGAAUGCCACUGUCAUACUGUUAUUGAUAAUCAUCUAAUCCUGUCAUUGUAAAUAUUGAGACUUUUUUUAAAUUUUUUUAAUAUUUUUGUUUUGUUUUAUUGUUGCAUUUGAUUUGUUUUAUUGUUUGCUUUUAGGUUUGUUUUAUUGUUGUAAUUGUUUUGUUUUUGUCCCCAUUUUCUUUUGUAUUUGUUUUGUUUGUUUUGAUUCAUUUUUUUUGUUUUGUUGUUGUAUUUAUUUAUUUUUUCGGUUUAUUUUAUGGUUGUAAUUGUGUUUGUUUUGUUAUAAUUGUUUCUGUUUUUAGUUGGGUUUUAUUGUUAUUUUUUGUCUGUAUUUUGUUUUGUAUUUGUAUUGUUUUAUUUGUUUUGAUUAUUGUUUGUUUUGCUUUAUUUUUGUAUUUGAUUUGUUGUAUUUUUUUCGGUUUGUUUUAUUGCUGUAAUUGUAUAUAUGUCAUCAUUUUUUACGUUUUAUUUGUUGUAUUUGUUUGUUUUGUUUUUUUGUCUGUUUUUGUUUUGUAUGGGUUUUGGAUUCUUGUUUUGUUGUUUGUCCCAAAUUAUAGCUUCAUAACAAAAUUGUGGAGCUGAUCAAGAUGCUUAUACAAACAGAGAAUUAAUAGUGCUACAAACUACAAAGCCUCGAAAAGGACAUACUUUACCUUUAGUACAUUAAGUAUAGAAAUUGAUGUCUCUACAUGCCCAUAUCCUGCCCUUCCUCUGAACAUCCUACCAGAGUGAAAUCUGUUUUGCAUAUAACGUUGACCCAUGUUAUGAAAGAUUUAUGCCAUUUCAUUGCAGUAAUAUAAUGUUUUAUGAAGGCCAUCAUUUACCUGCCAUGAAUAUUGCCCUGUUUCCGAGAUCUGUCAGAAUCAAGCAAAUCGCAGACUAAUAAAUCUCAUCAGACAGCAGCA
ensembl:lncRNA